AUGGUUUCCUGCGCAUUCGACGCAGCGCCGCCGGCGGCCGUGGCGAGGCCCCUGUCCCCAUCUGCCCUUCAGCGGCGCGGCUUACCUUUGGAGACUUGCGCCACUCCGAGAAUCAGUCUGGUCCUUGGGGCUGUUCCUUAGGUCGGAGCCCCUUUGUAAUAAGAGGUCAGUAUUCCUAAUGGUUCUACUGGCAGCGAGAGCUAGACUUGUAAUAAUGGUGGAGGUGGGCCGAUUGUUCUUGAAGAGGAUAAAGUUAAAACUUUCUUCCAUUGUCUAAAAAGGAUUGGCGUGCUUUUGUGAUAUACUUGCAUUAUAUUCGUGGUAGAUUUGUUUAAUAACAUGACCAACUGGAAAUACAUUCGAGUCCGGAAGUUCUGACAUACUGUUUGUUACCAAAGAUGCAAUCUGAUGCCUUAAACGGAAUAGAUUUUGAUAGAUCUUUUUUAGGCACUAAGUUUAGAGAAAUUAAGAGAAAAAAUGAUGUAUGAUUUUGGUCAGAGCUCUGUUUCUCAUUGCCCUAGGGCUUGUAAUUCAGUAGCUCAAGAUACAUUAGCAGCAAUUGGUUUAAAUUGUAAUAAUGGACCUGUCCUCUUGCAGGACCAUUUACCUGAGUAUGUUUCUGUUCUAGUGUCCAGUGAGUUGGCUGGACAAAGUGAUUAAUGGAUAUUUGACUUCAAAAAAAAAA